CCCUUAGAUGUUCUGGGCUGCACACGUGCUACACUGGCAGGUUCAGCGAGCUUCAUGCCCUGAUCUGAAAGGAAUGGGAAAUCUUUUCAAAACCUGCCGUGCUUGGGAUAGAUGUUUGCAAUUAUUCAUCUUCAACGAGGAUUACCUUGUAAGCGCACGUCAUCAGCGUGCAUUGAAUACGACCCUGUAUUCUGUACACACCGCCCGUCGCUCCUACCGAUUGAAGUUUUCGGUGAGUUGACAGGAGGAUUUUUUUGAAACUGGUUCGCCAGUGGAUUUUAGAUCCAAAUGCCAACGAAUCGAUGGCUUUAGAGGAAGGAGAAGUCGUAACA
rnacentral:rRNA from 1 species